rnacentral:rRNA from 1 species
GACAAACAGAUCGAGCUAAGUUAUAGUUGGUAUAAAAGGAAGUUAGAGGUAAUUAAAAUAUAAAUAGAAAAGUAAAUUUUUGUUUUAGAGGUGGAAUUCGUAAAGAAAAGGGUUGUUUAAAAAUUUUCUUGUACUUGAUACUUCGAAAAUUAUCACAGAGACCGGGAUUAGAUACCCCGUUAUUUUCAUUGUAAAUUUUGGUUUCCUACCUGAGUAUUACGAGUUGAGUCGUGAAUAAUAGUGGCAAGCUAUUAAUAGGAUUUCUUUUGCUUAAAACUCAAAAAACUUGGCGGUGUUUUAUUUCUUUCCAGGGGAACCUGUCCUGUAAUCGAUAGUCCACGAUUUAACUUACUUUUCUUCGAAGUUUAUUUAUUGGUAAUUUAUCAGUUUGUAUACCGUCGUCGUCAGAUAACCUUUAAGAGAAAAGUAGUUGUCAGUGGAGUAAUGUUUAAGUUUCCGCGAAAUAAAAUUGUUGAGGAAACUAUUCUUGCUCUGAUGUCAGAUCAAGGUGCAGCUUAUAGAAAAUGGAGAGAUGGGUUACAUUAUAUAGUUAAUUUGGAUUUUGAGGUGUAACACUUGAAUAAAAUUGGACUUGGAAGUAAUGUUUGUAUUAUAUAUGGAAUUAGUUAGUAAACGUAA